CAACAACGAAGAGUUUGAUCCUGGCUCAGGAUGAACGCUAGCGGCAGGCUUCAUACAUGCAAGUCGAGGGGUAACAGGGAGUGCUUGCACUCCGCUGACGACCGGCGAACGGGUGCGUAACGCGUAUGCAACCUACCUAUUACAGGGAGAUAGCCAAAAGAAAUUUUGAAUAAUAUCCCAUAAGAUCAUUUUAUUACAUGGUAUUAUGAUGAAAACUUCGGUGGUAAUAGAUGGGCAUGCGUCCUAUUAGUUUGUUGGUAAGGUAAUGGCUUACCAAGACUACGAUAGGUAGGGGUCCUGAGAGGGAGAUCCCCCACACUGGUACUGAGACACGGACCAGACU
rnacentral:rRNA from 1 species